UGGCCGGGCUCGGUAACGCGGGCCUAUGACCCUAUGUGGGGGGCAUUAAAGAUGGACGGAUUAGUUUGGUGGGUCUAGUUGUUUGGGUGAGGCUAAGUGGGCCCUUGCCGGCUUGCCAUUCCCUGUCUGGGUAUGCAUGGUUCGCAUAGUGUUGGCCCAUUUGUUGUUGGGUGGUAUUAUGCAUGUUUAAGCCUCCGAUGUUAAGAAUACCGGGGACUUCUUGAGCUGGCUUUUCAGAGCAGCAGGUGUGCUCUCUUUCAUGGAUUGGACUAACAAGCUGGUACCUCACCCAUCUAUCAUAGGUUCAAACUAAAACUCCAUCUUUA
rnacentral:misc_RNA from 1 species